AUUCCUACUUUAAUUCUGAGAAUUCUGAGAUUAAAGUCAGAAUUCUGACUUUGUGACGUUCGUAGAGCUAUGAAUUGUGGGGGGGACCGUCAGCGUGUGGCGUGACUUGAAAGAAAGGACAUCAUGUCGUCACCCAGCGACUUUUUGCGUGGCCGAGGAGUGUCGGAGGACAUCCUUUCACUUUUGGAGGAGCAGAGGGUGAGUAAACAGUGCGUCGUGUUUGUUUCAUUUGGAGUUAACGUGCUCCAUGAAGCUUGUAGCUCCGUUGCUAGUCCGAAUGUCACGAAUGGAUGCACCCAGUUUACAUUCGUGAAUAAGUAGAACGUAACCAAUUUAAAUGGGUACGUUCCUGUGACGCCACACAACGUUGUUAAAAACAACACCACUCUCGACAUCGAACCUCUUUGUGUGGAUGACAGUGGCCGUCUGGAGCAUUGUUGCAGCCUAAUUGCCGUGAACUGAACACACCUGUGGUCGUGUCGUAGCAAGUACUGUAGUGACGUGCCGCAAUUCAAGGCUACAUCAUUUGAAAUUGACAGUGAUGUCGUAGCACUGAUUGACGAUGCCACCCUUGCCAAUUAUGUCCCAUGGUAUGGAGACCGUAUAGCACUCUUCAAUUUUUGCAAGACUCAACAGCUCCCAUCCAAAAGAAAAAAUUGACUUGGAAAAAUUACGUGAAAAAAUGAAAAUCGGGAAAGAAGACACUUCCUCAAAGACACAACAAGCAAGACAGACGAAGAGGCAGAAAACAACGAGAAAUGUUGCAAUUGGAUGGAUACACAAUGAUGGAAAAAUAACCAAACAGAUAUUUCCUAAUGGCUGUGAGGCACGUCGGCCUCACAGUGCAGAGGUGCAGGAUUCGAAUCCGGUUCCGGCCUUCCUGUGUGGAGUCUCCGGCUUCUCCGCAUCCUCCCACAUUCCAAAAACAUGCGGGGCAGGUUAAUGGAACACUCCAAAUAAUUGUCCGUGAUAGUGAGGGCAGAUGGUUGUUCGUCUGUGUGCACUGCGAUUUGCUGGCAAACGGUUCAGGGUGUCCCCCCCCUACUGCCCAACAACUGCUGGGACAGGCUGCGCAGCAUAUCUCGUGACCCUUGUGAGGAUGAAGCGGAUCAGAAAAAGUGUGGCGAUGUUUUCUAUCAAUAUUAACAAUAAGACAUCCAUCCACUUUUGACCCACAUAUCCUCCAGGGUCACGGGACAUGCUGGAGCCAUGGCACUGUUGUUUAAUAUAAAGGUUUCAGAAAGGGCAAGUCCGUGUACUUCCAGCCUACUACUGAAAAGAGUGCAAUCUAGAGAAGUCAAAAAACAACAACUGGUUUAUGGAGCAAAUUUGAAGCUUCAUUUUCCCAAAAUUGCAUCAGUAUAUACUGUAUGUCUAAUAGACUUCAGUAAUUCCUCUCUCAACUUAACAUACAAGUCACUUGCAUCCAAUGGAUCUGAUGGCGCGUGCCA